rnacentral:lncRNA from 1 species
ACGCCAUAAUUGUCAACAAUGGUUCGUAAUGUUUUUGUGUUAACCUAUCAUAAUUUGUACACUUUAUUACACUACAUGAUAUAUCCAUAUUGCACCAUAUCCUUUACAUCCAUGAUUGAUAUAUAAAUGAUGCUUCCCCGAAGUAAUUUCCGUAUGNNNUUGUAUAAUUAUUUUAGUAGAAUGUGUUAUUCAUAUAACUAAUUAUUUUAGUAGAAUGUGUUAUUUAUAACUAUGUUUAAUAUUAAUGUUGAUGUUGUAAUAAAAAAAUAUCUUACAUUAUCUUUGGAGCCGCUAGAUAAGGAUUUGGAUCCUCUAAAAAAAAUUAUUUCUUAUUUUCUUAAUUCAACAGUCGGUAAAUCACAAAAACAAAAAAAACUUAAAUGCAAAAGAAAAAUAAAAAAAUAAUAAUUAAAAUUACUACAACAUGACCGUCGUGAUAUAAUAUUUUGAAGAGAAAUCUGUUGUAUAACUAAUAUCAAGUCAAAAAACUAAUAUGAAAAACUUCAUAAAUUAAAUCAAAUUUUCUAAGAAGAAUAAUAUUAGACCAACUCUCCUAACAUAAUGUUGCAAGUUGCAACACUGAAAUCAAAUUUUUCACCUACAAACGUAAGUCUAAG